CCCUGGCUCAGGAUGAACGCAGGCGGCGUGCUUAACACAUGCAAGUCGAACGAUGACCCGGUGCUUGCACCGGUGAUUAGUGGCGAACGGGUGAGUAACACGUGAGUAACCUGCCCUUAACUCUGGGAUAAGCCUGGGAAACUGGGUCUAAUACCGGAUAUGACUCCUCAUCGCAUGGUGGGGGGUGGAAAGCUUUAUUGUGGUUUUGGAUGGACUCGCGGCCUAUCAGCUUGUUGGUGAGGUAAUGGCUCACCAAGGCGACGACGGGUAGCCGGCCUGAGAGGGUGACCGGCCACACUGGGACUGAGACACGGCCCAGACUCCUACGGGAGGCAGCAGUGGGGAAUAUUGCACAAUGGGCGCAAGCCUGAUGCAGCGACGCCGCGUGAGGGAUGACGGCCUUCGGGUUGUAAACCUCUUUCAGUAGGGAAGAAGCGAAAGUGACGGUACCUGCAGAAGAAGCGCCGGCUAACUA
rnacentral:rRNA from 4 species